UAAAAGUCGUAACAAGGUUUCCGUAGGUGAACCUGCGGAAGGAUCAUUAUCGAAUAAAUGUGAACGCGGUUGUCGCUGGCCUUCCGACGGGCAUGUGCACGCUUCGUUCAUUUUUUUCUAUCUUUACACCCCUGUGCACUUCUCAUAGGUCGCGUUGCGUGUCUGAUUUAAUUAUCGGACUCGUGCUCUUCCUGUGUGUUUUAUAUACGUACGCUUGCAUGUUUUAGAAUGUCACUGUGAUGCAUAAGAUUGCAUAUAAUACAACUUUCAGCAACGGAUCUCUUGGCUCUCGCAUCGAUGAAGAACGCAGCGAAAUGCGAUAAGUAAUGUGAAUUGCAGAAUUCAGUGAAUCAUCGAAUCUUUGAACGCACCUUGCGCUCCUUGGUAUUCCGAGGAGCAUGCCUGUUUGAGUGUCAUGGUAUUCUCAACUCUUCUGUGUUUAAUUGAACGCAGUUGAGCUUGGAUGUGGAGGUUUUUUUUGUUGGGGCUCAAACAAAUAUAUUUGUUUGAAUGCCGACUCCUCUGAAAUGCAUUAGCUUGAAUGUUUACCAAGCAUGAUUCAGCGUGAUAAUUGUCUACGUUGCUUCAUCCUGGUAUUUAAUAUGUUCUAGCUGCGAACUGUCCCUUUGGACGUUGUUUUAGAACAUCUGACCUCAAAUCAGGUAGGACUACCCGCUGAACUUAAGCAUAU
rnacentral:rRNA from 1 species